rnacentral:rRNA from 1 species
GACGAACGCUGGCGGCGUGCUUAACACAUGCAAGUCGAACGGAAAGGCCCUGCUUUUGUGUGGUUCUCGAGUGGCGAACGGGUGAGUAACACGUGAGUAACCUGCCCUUGACUUUGGGAUAACUUCAGGAAACUGGGGCUAAUACCGGAUAGGAGCUCCUGCUGCAUGGUGGGGGUUGGAAAGUUUCGGCGGUUGGGGAUGGACUCGCGGCUUAUCAGCUUGUUGGUUGGGUAGUUGCUUACCAAGGCUUUGACGGGUAGCCGGCCUGAGAGGGUGACCGGCCACCUUGGGACUGAGAUACGGCCCAGACUCCUACGGGAGGCAGCAGUGGGGAAUAUUGCACAAUGGGCGGAAGCCUGAUGAAGCAACGCCGCGUGCGGGAUGACGGCCUUCGGGUUGUAAACCGCUUUCGCCUGUGACGAAGCGUGAGUGACGGUAAUGGGUAAAGAAGCACCGGCUAACUACGUG